GAGUUGGUGUGUUGGAACGUGCGCGGCUUGAAUAGCCCGGCCAAGAAAAAGGCGCUGCGUGAAUUUGCGGACUCGGUGCACCCGGCUAUUUUUUGUAUCCAGGAGACUAAACUUGCUUGUAUUAACACUUUUACCAUUAUGCAAUGUCUUGGCCUGUCUUAUGAUGGGUAUUACUACUUGCCGGCUACGGAUAUGAGGGGUGGGAUCCUUUUAGCUUGGAAUGUGGUGCUGAUCAACAUUACGAACUAUGUUAGAGACACACAUUGCAUCACAGGGUACAUCUCUCCGCUGGAUGGUACGCCUUGGUGGCUAACAACGGUCGAUGGACCGCAAGAGGAUCAGGAUAAGUUGUUGUUCCUUGAGGAGCUAGCAGCGAGGAGGGAGCUGUGCCCGGGUCCCUGGAUGAUCAUUGGUGACUUUAAUAUGAUACUCCAAGCCUCAAACAAGAAUAACUCGCUUCUGUACAGGAGGACAAUGCAUAGAUUCCGUCAGUUUGUCGAUGGCAAUGGGCUCAAGGAGCUGUACAUGCACGGGCGGGCAUUUACUUGGAGCAAUGAAAGAGAGGUCCCCACGCUCACAAAAAUUGAUAAGGCACUUGUCUCGGUGGACUGGGAGCUUGCUUACCCGGACUGCUUGCUCCAAGCCAUGUCAACGUCGACCUCGGAUCACUGCCCUCUGCACCUUGCCUUGACCGAGCACACACUAGUGCAGAACCGGGCAAUAGCACCGGUUCAUAAGGCCCUUUAG
rnacentral:rRNA from 1 species